AACGUAGGACACAAGCGUUAUCCGGAAUUACUGGGCGUAAAGCGUGCGCAGGCGGUUUUGUAAGCCAGAUGUGAAAUCCCCGGGCUUAACCUGGGAACUGCAUUUGGGACUGCAAGGCUUGAGUGCGGCAGAGGAGACUGGAAUUCCUGGUGUAGCAGUGAAAUGCGUAGAUAUCAGGAGGAAUACCGAUGGCGAAGGCAGGUCUCUGGGCUGACACUGACGCUCAUGCACGAAAGCGUGGGGAGCAAACAGG
rnacentral:rRNA from 1 species